ensembl:lncRNA
UUGUUGUUGUUGUUGCUGUUGUUUUAUGGGGGGAUGAGGCACCAAAGAUGUUUCAAAAUUAGUCAGAAGUCCCUUCUCAGCAGCCUCCAAGGUUUUGCACAUUUAGCUCAUGCUGUAGCGAUGCCAGUAAUCAGAAAUGUUUCUAGUUAUGUAGAAUUUCAGAAUCAAGCACAAAGGGUUUGUUUAAUGAAUAAAUAUUUAUGAAUGUUCCUGUAAAUACUGUAUGUGUAAUAGUCAGUAUUAUUUUGUACUAAAACAUGGUGCAAAGUUUUAAUGUAAGAUUUAAGUAUAUGGGUAAAAUGACAGUAACUGAAGAGCUGUCCCUAUUAUCAGUUAUUCCCUAUCAAAACACCUCAUCCAGUAUAAAGCCAUUACUCACCAAACCCUAUCAAGGAUUUAUUUAAUCAUAUUUCUCUUGUAUAAAGCACAUCAGUGAUUAAUGUCAAAGCAAUGUCUUAACAACCAUUUUCUGGAAUUUCUUUCAUCUUGUACUGUAUUCUAUUCUGAAGCUGAAUAUGUAUUUCACCAGCAAGAGAGCUAAAUGUAGAGACAUAUUUAUAUGUCAAAAAGCUAGUGGAGCCGCACCGUAGACAUCACGUGCCAGCGCAGUGCAUAGGGUGUGAAAGGCUACAUUUUGAGGGCACCGAGGUAGAAUUAACACAGAUCUUUUUUUAUGAAAAGCACAUUGUGUGAAGUGAUGCACUGUUGUAAAUGGUGCACUGUUGUCUGCAAGAUGUCAAGGGAAAGAUGUUCAUUUUUAAACAGGGGUAAUGUCUCAACCACAAUGCAUCUGACUGCAAUAGCAAGGAACUCCAGUGUAGGUGUCAUUGAAGUGCAAACAUAUAAAAAUCCAUUCACACAUGCUUGCCUGUGUACUACUGUAUAGCUGUUGUAUAUAGAAUUAAGAACUCUAGAGUAUUUAUUGACUUCCUUGUCUGUUUUUUAUGUCCAGCAUCUCUUAUUUCACGAGCAGGUAAGAGCCAACAAUUUGUCAGUCAAGCCUAUUGAGUCAAGUUUCAGCAUAUUGAGUCAUGUUUUGCUGAAUUUCUCCAAGCAGCAUAAAAUUUUAGCACCAUAACAAAAAAGAACACAAGGGAAACCAGUUUUAAAUUAGUUGUGAGAAGGCUCUAGUCUAGCUGUUUUAGAAUAGCAUUUAGUGUAAAAGCCCAACACAUCUGACAGCUGCUUCUAAGUAGUUAAUAAAUUUCUAGACGAAUCUGUUCUUACAGUCAAUUAGUGGAUUUGAGUCAUCAAAGGGUUUCAUCUAAAACAAAGACAAACAUGGAAAAUGUUGGUGUUGUAGAUAUGAGUUUGAUAGAAAAACCUAUUGUAACAUUCUUGAAACUUUUUUAAAAUGUUUUCAGUGUAAUGCCAUUGAAUUGCUGCCUUUGACAACUUUGCUGCUAAUGCUAUGCAAAGCUCUUUUUUUAAGCCCAAGUAGUUUAGUAUUUGUAGGGUUUUUUUGUUGUUUUUUUUAUUGACAAUCCCUGAGCCUCAGACAGAUCUGCUGUAUAUGACAAAGAUCUCUAUAUAUCCCCAGUCCUGCUUUUGCAUGUAAGUCUUAAAUAAUGCUCU